rnacentral:rRNA from 1 species
UACGGAGGGUGCAAGCGUUAUCCGGAUUCACUGGGUUUAAAGGGUGCGUAGGUGGGUAAGUAAGUCCGUGGUGAAAUCUCUGAGCUUAACUCAGAAACUGCCGUGGAUACUAUUUGCCUUGAAUAUUGUGGAGGUGAGCGGAAUAUGUCAUGUAGCGGUGAAAUGCUUAGAUAUGACAUAGAACACCAAUUGCGAAGGCAGCUCACUGCACAAUCAUUGACGCUGAGGCACGAAAGCGUGGGGAUCAAACAGG